rnacentral:ncRNA from 1 species
AAGAAUAAGAAUAUGAUGUUGGUUCAGAUUAAGCGCUAAAUAAGGACAUGACACAUGCGAAUCAUACGUUUAUUAUUGAUAAGAUAAUAAAUAUGUGGUGUAAACGUGAGUAAUUUUAUUAGGAAUUAAUGAACUAUAGAAUAAGCUAAAUACUUAAUAUAUUAUUAUAUAAAAAUAAUUUAUAUAAUAAAAAGGAUAUAUAUAUAAUAUAUAUUUAUCUAUAGUCAAGCCAAUAAUGGUUUAGGUAGUAGGUUUAUUAAGAGUUAAACCUAGCCAACGAUCCAUAAUCGAUAAUGAAAGUUAGAACGAUCACGUUGACUCUGAAAUAUAGUCAAUAUCUAUAAGAUACAGCAGUGAGGAAUAUUGGACAAUGAUCGAAAGAUUGAUCCAGUUACUUAUUAGGAUGAUAUAUAAAAAUAUUAAUUUUUAUAUUUAUAAAUAUUAAAUAUUUAUAUAUAAUAAUAAUAAUAUAUAUAAAUUGAUUAAAAAUAAAAUCCAUAAAUAAUUAAAAUAAUGAUAUUAAUUACCAUAUAUAUAUUUUAUAUGGAUAUAUAUAUUAAUAAUAAUAUUAAUUUAUUAUUAUUAAUAAUAUAUUUUAAUAGUCCUGACUAAUAUUUGUGCCAGCAGUCGCGGUAACACAAAGAGGGCGAGCGUUAAUCAUAAUGGUUUAAAGGAUCCGUAGAAUGAAUUAUAUAUUAUAAUUUAGAGUUAAUAAAAUUAAUUAAAGAAUUAUAAUAGUAAAGAUGAAAUAAUAAUAAUAAUUAUAAGACUAAUAUAUGUGAAAAUAUUAAUUAAAUAUUAACUGACAUUGAGGGAUUAAAACUAGAGUAGCGAAACGGAUUCGAUACCCGUGUAGUUCUAGUAGUAAACUAUGAAUACAAUUAUUUAUAAUAUAUAUUAUAUAUAAAUAAUAAAUGAAAAUGAAAGUAUUCCACCUGAAGAGUACGUUAGCAAUAAUGAAACUCAAAACAAUAGACGGUUACAGACUUAAGCAGUGGAGCAUGUUAUUUAAUUCGAUAAUCCACGACUAACCUUACCAUAUUUUGAAUAUUAUAAUAAUUAUUAUAAUUAUUAUAUUACAGGCGUUACAUUGUUGUCUUUAGUUCGUGCUGCAAAGUUUUAGAUUAAGUUCAUAAACGAACAAAACUCCAUAUAUAUAAUUUUAAUUAUAUAUAAUUCUAUAUUAUUUAUUAAUAUAAAGAAAGGAAUUAAGACAAAUCAUAAUGAUCCUUAUAAUAUGGGUAAUAGACGUGCUAUAAUAAAAUGAUAAUAAAAUUAUAUAAAAUAUAUUUAAUAUAUAUUUAAUUAAUAAUAUAAAACAUUUUAAUUUUUAAUAUAUUUUUUUAUUAUAUAUUAAUAUGAAUUAUAAUCUGAAAUUCGAUUAUAUGAAAAAAGAAUUGCUAGUAAUACGUAAAUUAGUAUGUUACGGUGAAUAUUCUAACUGUUUCGCACUAAUCACUCAUCACGCGUUGAAACAUAUUAUUAUCUUAUUAUUUAUAUAAUAUUUUUUAAUAAUUAUUAAUAUUAUUAAUUUAUAUUUAUUUAUAUCAGAAAUAAUAUGAAUUAAUGCGAAGUUGAAAUACAGUUACCGUAGGGGAACCUGCGGUGGGCUUAUAAAUAUC